rnacentral:rRNA from 1 species
AUUGAACGCUGGCGGCAGGCCUAACACAUGCAAGUCGAGCGGAUGAAGGGAGCUUGCUCCUGGAUUCAGCGGCGGACGGGUGAGUAAUGCCUAGGAAUCUGCCUGGUAGUGGGGGAUAACGUCCGGAAACGGGCGCUAAUGCCGCAUACGUCCUGAGGGAGAAAGUGGGGGAUCUUCGGACCUCACGCUAUCAGAUGAGCCUAGGUCGGAUUAGCUAGUUGGUGGGGUAAAGGCCUACCAAGGCGACGAUCCGUAACUGGUCUGAGAGGAUGAUCAGUCACACUGGAACUGAGACACGGUCCAGACUCCUACGGGAGGCAGCAGUGGGGAAUAUUGGACAAUGGGCGAAAGCCUGAUCCAGCCAUGCCGCGUGUGUGAAGAAGGUCUUCGGAUUGUAAAGCACUUUAAGUUGGGAGGAAGGGCAGUAAGUUAAUACCUUGCUGUUUUGACGUUACCAAAAGAAUAAGCACCGGCUAACUUCGU